UGGAAAUUAGGGGUUUUUAGCCCUACCCUGCUCACUGACAAGAAUGUUAAAUAGCCGCGGUAUUUUGACCGUGCAAAGGUAGCAUAAUCAUUAGUUUUUUAAUUGAAAACUUGUAUGAAUGGUUGGACAAUGCAGCUAUAAAAGAAGGUCUGUUCGACCUUUAAUUUUUUACGUGAUCUGAGUUCAGACCGGACAGCGUAAUUUCUUUUAAGAGUUCUUAUCAAAGAAGGAGUUUGCGACCUCGAUGUUGAAUUAAAAUGUCUUUAUAGUGCAUAAAUUUAAACAAUUAUAUUUGAUAAAAAUUUAAAUGAUCCUUAAUAAAGAUUAAAAGAUCAAGUUACUUUAGGGAUAAAACCAAUUUUUUAGAAUAAAAGUAAAUUUGGAAGAUUUAUUUGGUUGGGGCGACAAAUGUAUAAUGUUAAAUAACUGCUAAAUUAACUUCUAAGUGAAAAGGCUUAGAUUUUCUAGAGGGACGAUAAGACCCUAUAAAGCUUUAUAGAUUGAGUGGAUUAAGAAAAAGCUGUCUCUUCUAUUAAAAUUGA
rnacentral:rRNA from 1 species